rnacentral:tRNA from 1 species
GCCCGUAUGGCCCAACCGGUAGAGGCGCUGUACUCAGAAUGCAGAAGUUGGGGGUUCAAAUCCCUCUACGGGCA